UUGUAAUUGGAAUGAUGGGAAUUUAAACCUCUUCCAGAGUAUAUUCCUGGAGGGCAAGUCUGGUACCAGCAGCCGCGGUAAUUCCAUCUCUAAUAGCGUAUAUUAAAAUUGUUGCAGUUAAAAAGCUCGUAGUUGAAUUUCUGCUGUAUUGCAUUUUCUCUUUUUAUAUGAGUUUUUGCAUUAUGGCUUAUUUCAGUAUUAAUUUUUUAUAAUUACUGAAUGGUUACCUUGAGAAAAUUAAAGUGCCCAACGCACGCUUUUGCCUUGAAUAGUUUAGCAUGGAAUAGUAAAGUAAGGCCUUGGUUCUAUUUUGUUGGUUUUAGGUACCAAAGUAAUGGUUAUUAGGAAAAGUUGGGGGCAUUCUUUUUUAACUGUGAAAAGGUGAAAUCCUUAGAA
rnacentral:rRNA from 1 species